AAUAUACACAACUCAAGAAUUCAUUCAAUGUGAGAGUUUAAACACUACUAAUUACCAUAUUUAUCGCUUCCAUAUGGAUAAGUUUCUUUGAUUGCAGACAGA